GACGAACGCUGGCGGCGUGCUUAACACAUGCAAGUCGAACGAAGAGCGAUGGAAGCUUGCUUCUAUCAAUCUUAGUGGCGAACGGGUGAGUAACGCGUAAUCAACCUGCCCUUCAGAGGGGGACAACAGUUGGAAACGACUGCUAAUACCGCAUACGAUCUAAUCUCGGCAUCGAGGAUAGAUGAAAGGUGGCCUCUACAUGUAAGCCAUCACUGAAGGAGGGGAUUGCGUCUGAUUAGCUAGUUGGAGGGGUAACGGCUCACCAAGGCGAUGAUCAGUAGCCGGUCUGAGAGGAUGAACGGCCACAGUGGGACUGAGACACGGCCCAGACGCCUACGGGAGGCAGCAGUGGGGAAUCUUCCGCAAUGGACGAAAGUCUGACGGAGCAACGCCGCGUGAGCGAUGACGGCCUUCGGGUUGUAAAGCUCUGUUAAUCGGGACGAAAGGCCUUCUUGCGAAUAGUGAGAAGGAUUGACGGUACCGGAAUAGAAAGCCACGGCUAACUACGUG
rnacentral:rRNA from 1 species